UCAUGUUCUCAGGGCGGGGCGAAAUUCCCCACCGGCGGUAAGCGGUCUCGGUCGAGCCGCAAGCCCGCGAGCGCCUUUUCUGCAAGGGCCAGUCUGGAAAAUCCUGUUCUCCGGAUCGGGCCAUGAAGAGAAGGGUCAGCAGAUUCGGUGCGACUCCGAAGCCGACGGUCACAGUCCGGAUGAAAGAGAACGGGU
rnacentral:ncRNA from 2 species